rnacentral:lncRNA from 1 species
UUUUAGGCUAUUAAAGGAAAUAAUUCCUGCAAUCAUGCCCCCCAAAAUUAUUAUACAUAAAUAAGCCCCACUUAUGGGCAUUGAGUUAGUUUGGCAGAAAUAGACUGACUGUGGCCCACACACUCCCCAUCUCAAACAGCUACUACACUUACUGUUGCAAGUAUGGAAGUAGUUUGGGCAGCAGAUUUUGUGUGUGUGUGUGUGUGUGUGUGUGCGUGUGUGCGUGCGUGUGUGUGUGUGUGUGUGUGUGUGUGAGUGUGUGUGUGGGUGUCUGUGUGUGCGUGCGUGUUUUUGAUUUUGUGUUAGUGUGUGUGUGUGUGUGUGUGUGUGUGUGUGUGUGUGUGUGUGUGUGUGUGUGUGUGUGUGUGUGUGUGUGUGUGUGUGUGUGUGUGUGUGUGUGUGUGUGUGUGUGUGUGUAAGUGUGCAAGUGUUGGUAGUGUAGAGUAGCCAGACGUGUGUCCACCCCCUUGCAGAAGGCUUGUAGUUGCUCGGGAUCACCGCUUGGUUGUUUGUAACUCGACACCUGGCGAUGCGGUGCGUUGUACCAUUGCUUUACCCACAGAAAAGGGGCUAUUUAAAAAGGAAAGGCAUGAGUUGUGCGCUACCCGACUCCGUAACACACCUUCCCAAUCCCCAAGUAUCGCCACAUAAUUUUGGACUCCCGCUUCCCAUUCUUCUGGAUCGGCAUAAAUGAAUGAAACACAGGGAAAGCUCGUAAGACAGUCGCUCAGGACCACGUUGUGUCACACCACCGAACGACCAGGAGUUGAUCCAGUGGAGUUGAUCUAGACACAACAGUAUGAGUGUUCAUUGGGACCUGAUCUCCAGCCUCUCCGAUGUGUAGGACAGCCGCUCGGUGUCUUCCAUCCCCUCAGGACUCACGCUGUGAUGAACGGAUUAGGUUUUUGACUGCCAGGACAAAUGAAUACAAAUGAAUUUAGCGACCCGAAGGAGAGAUUGCAGAACCUCUCAUCUCGACACAAAGAGAGCUCUAUUGCUCUGCACAGUUCUCUACUGUACUUGUUACCUAGGUCUCGCCCAAGUACACUCUGAAGGUAAGUCCCAAGCUCUCCUCCGGCUCUCUCUACCAUCUUAUAUGGACGCAAAUCACUGCCAUAAUGUUCUGAAUUGUAUAUGAAAUGUAUAUGGAAAUGUAAACCCACGAUAACAAUUACUCAUAUUCAAGUGCUAAAAAUAAGGAAGAGAAAAUCCAAUCCAUAAAAGUUUUAGCUGAAAUACCAGGGCCUUCAAAACCCCUGUGAGUUUGAUUAUACAUGACUGACAACAACCGGACAAUUGACCCGAUAGCCAUCCUUCUCUCUGUUGGCCGUCGCUGGGUUUAAUUGUCAUGCAGGUUUCGUUGAUCACAUGACUGACUGACACCGCUCUGGUUGGCCGGUAGUGAAUUUGAUUGCACUCAGUCUUUCACAAGGUGAUUUCAAUGGGAAUAAAUUCAGUUGACUUUGUUUAAAUGGGAUAAUAUUUCAGUUUUAUGAAUUCAAUUGUGUUUUUAACUAAAUGUAAUGGCUUCUAAAAUUCAAAACAUUAUGGCAGUGAUUUUCUGCCAUUAACUAAAACUCUUCUUCUAUGUUUUUAUGUAUGCAUGAUUUUUGUGGUGAUCUCUUUAGGGGCUAAUUUGCUUUAUUGUUACUUGUUG